UACGGGGGGAGCACGCGUUGUUCGGAUUUACUGGGCGUAAAGGGCGCGUAGGCGGCCACCGCAAGUCAGUUGUGAAAUCUCUGGGCUUAACCCAGAAAGGUCAACUGAUACUGCGGGGCUAGAGUGCAGAAGGGGCAACUGGAAUUCUCGGUGUAGCGGUGAAAUGCGUAGAUAUCGAGAGGAACACCUGCGGCGAAGGCGGGUUGCUGGGCUGACACUGACGCUGAUGCGCGAAAGCUAGGGGAGCGAACGGG
rnacentral:rRNA from 1 species